rnacentral:snRNA from 1 species
GGCGCGGCGGUCGCUGCAAAACC